GACGAACGCUGGCGGCGUGCCUAAUACAUGCAAGUAGAACGCUGAAGGAGGAGCUUGCUUCUCUGGAUGAGUUGCGAACGGGUGAGUAACGCGUAGGUAACCUGCCUGGUAGCGGGGGAUAACUAUUGGAAACGAUAGCUAAUACCGCAUAAUAGUAGAUGUUGCAUGACAUUUGCUUAGAAGGUGCAAUUGCAUCACUACCAGAUGGACCUGCGUUGUAUUAGCUAGUUGGUGGGGUAACGGCUCACCAAGGCGACGAUACAUAGCCGACCUGAGAGGGGGAUCGGCCACACUGGGACUGAGACACGGCCCAGACUCCUACGGGAGGCAGCAGUAGGGAAUCUUCGGCAAUGGACGGAAGUCUGACCGAGCAACGCCGCGUGAGUGAAGAAGGUUUUCGGAUCGUAAAGCUCUGUUGUAAGAGAAGAACGAGUGUGAGAGUGGAAAGUUCACACUGUGACGGUAUCUUACCAGAAAGGGACGGCUAACUACGUG
rnacentral:rRNA from 1 species